UGAAAGAGGCGAUUUCUCGGAAUAGAAACAGAAGAAACGUAGCCUGACAUACAGCAGAGCCACUUUUCAGGUCAUCAAUCUCAUCGGCCACUGAUUCUAAUCGCAGCCACAAGCCCAGGCAAUCAGAGGUGUUUUAUAAGACAGAAAAGUGAGAGAGAUGGCAACAAUUGCGGUUAACAUGCAGCAGCAGCAGCAGCAACCCCUGCUUGUGGUACGAUCGGAUGCGUGGACCACAGGGAUCUGUGACUGCUGUGAUGACAUGGGUAUCUGCUGUUAUGCUACCUUCUGUUUCCCAUGCUUUGUCUGCAAAACAACUGGGGAGUUAAAUGAAUGCUGUGCUCUUCCUUUCUGCUGUGAUGCGGGUCCUAUUCCCCCCAUCUCUCUGGCCAUAAGAUAUGGGAUACGGAAGCAGUAUGGCAUACAGGGAAGCCUCCUCGACGACUGCCUGCAUGCAACCUACUGCAACAUGUGCUCGUGGUGCCAGGUGGCACGAGAGAUUAAAAUAAGGAAGCAGUCGGUCACAGUCAUCAGCACUCAGCCCACCUUCGUCCAGACUCCAGCCAAUUAUCCUGGGCACAGGGCCAUGUGAUGGGGCAGACUUCAUCUGGGCUCUCUCUGC